UACGGAGGGGGCGAGCGUUGUUCGGAUUUAUUGGGUGUAAAGGGUGUGUAGGCGGUUAUGCAAGUCAGGUGUGAAAUCCCUUGGCUCAACCAAGGAACUGCAUUUGAAACUGCAUGGCUUGAGUAUAGGAGAGGAGAGUGGAAUUCCCGGUGUAGAGGUGAAAUUCGUAGAUAUCGGGAGGAACACCUGUGGCGAAGGCGACUCUCUGGCUUGAUACUGACGCUGAAACACGAAAGCUAGGGGAG
rnacentral:rRNA from 1 species